CCCUUAGAUGUUCUGGGCCGCACGCGUGCUACACUGAACGGUUCAAUGGGUAAGGUAGUGCGAAAGCAUGACCUAAUCUCGAAAUCCGUUCGUGCUGGGGAUAGAAGCUUGCAAUUAUCCUUCUUGAACGAGGAAUACCCUGUAAGCGUGAGUCAUCAUCUCACGCUGAAUACGUCCCUGCCCUUUGUACACACCGCCCGUCGCUCCUACCGAUUGAGUGUUCCGGUGAGGCUUUGGGAGAAUGGCCUCAACAUGAGUUUAUCGUGUUUUGCCGUUUGAACUUAGUCAAACCUUAUCACUUAGAGGAAGGAGAAGUCGUAACA
rnacentral:rRNA from 1 species